CAAAGAAUAGUUUAUUAAAAUAAUAAUUUUGGAGAUUAUAGAUAAAGAAAAAUCUUUUUCUUUGA
rnacentral:tRNA from 2 species